rnacentral:lncRNA from 10 species
GCUUCUGCUUCUGGGGAGGCCUCAGGAAACUUACAAUCAUAGUGGAAAGGCAAAGGGGAAGCAGACACAUCUUAUGUGGCCAGAGUAGGAGCAAGGGGGCGCAGGAGGAGGUGCCACACACGUUUUAAACACCCAGAUCUCACAAGAACACUCAAGAGGACAGUACCAAGUGGAAUGCUGUUAAACCAUUCAUGAGAAAUGCACCCCCAUGAUCCAGUCACCUCCCACUAGGCCCCACCUCCAAGAUUGGGGAUUACAUUUCAAUAUGAGAUUUGGGUGGGGACACACAUCCAAACUAUAUCAGCAGUACUGGACAUUUUUCAUGAGAGAGAAGGGGCACAAGAGGAUGUCUGGAGCUAGCCUCUAGAAUGUUGGUGUGGAAAAUCUCUCCAAUGUUUGAAAAGCAUACCAAUUACCUAGUCCUCCAUUCAUUGUUCAAAUGAAGAAACCCAAAAAGCAGAAGUAACUUCCCAAGGGUCACACAGUCAGUUAACAGGCAAAAGCCAGAUGUCCUGGUUCUCAAUCCUCGCCUGUCCCAUUCUGCCACAGAUACUGCAGCCAGAGGCCAGGCAUGGUGGCUCACGCCUGUAAUCCCAGCACUUUGGGAGGCCGAGGUGGGUGGUUCACCUGAGGUCAGAAGUUCGAGACCAGCCUGG